ACGGGAGGUGUAGGACGUCACCAUGGUUGUAUCAGAGAGAUGCAACAAGAAACAUGUAUUGAUUCAUUGUAUUGUUGAAAAUCGUUACUGAGAUGAGAUAUCCAUUGCAAGAAAUUUAUUCUCAGUAUUUUUUUUCUUUACAUAUAUUUUUGAUUCCGUUGAACGCAUGGUGAAUAGUUUAUUUUUCACUGGAGGUAGCUAUCACUAUUCAGCAGUACCGCCCUAACACGCCCGCUCAGCCGUUAAAUAUUCGAUAUCAAGAAAAUUCGAGGGAUCAUUUCUUUCGAAAACAAGAUCGGGCCGAGGCGGUCUUUGUUCUGAACCGUGGUUUUUUCUGCAAGCAUAACCCAAUCCCGGCCCAUUCGGUCUUCCGCACUUCCAGGCCGAUACACCCUGCGUGGGCCUUCUUUUCCAUUUGGUCCCUCAAAUCACCAGUUUUCCUCCCAGACCAAAAAACAGUCUUAGAAGAAAAAAAAAACUGCUACUUCUACGUGACAUGGAAACUCGACUGAGCACGUUGUAAAUUAACAACAGAAAACAAAAAGUCUAUACAAGGAGAAUCGAUCUAGUCUACAAUCUGCUGCCGAUCGACGAAUGCCUUUUGUGGAGGGAGAGAGCAAAGUCGCCUGCACUGCACAGCACAGCUGCAUCUUUGGAUCAGGGAAAGCAACUUUGACAAGAGAACAAAAAAAGAAGAAGAUGAACCACUUCACCACACACAUAUAUUUAUGCUCUGUUCUUGCCUUGCGAUGCGUGCAACGUGCCUGCCUGCCGUGUGGUGCACCAGCGCUACCUCACACCCAGGGCCUACUGCC
rnacentral:lncRNA from 1 species